UACUUCAUGCCUGCUAAGUGAAAGACCCCCAAAAGGAUACCCUCACUCAAGUCUCGGGAUAAUAGUGGAACCCCAAGAACUCAUGAGAGACC
rnacentral:pre_miRNA from 7 species